AUUGAAUGCUGGCGGCAUGCUUUACACAUGCAAGUCGAACGGUAACAGGCCGCAAGGUGCUGACGAGUGGCGAACGGGUGAGUAAUGCAUCGGAACGUGCCCAGUCGUGGGGGAUAACGCAGCGAAAGCUGUGCUAAUACCGCAUACGAUCUAUGGAUGAAAGCGGGGGACCGUAAGGCCUCGCGCGAUUGGAGCGGCCGAUGUCAGAUUAGGUAGUUGGUGGGGUAAAGGCUCACCAAGCCGACGAUCUGUAGCUGGUCUGAGAGGACGACCAGCCACACUGGGACGGAGACACGGCCCAGACUCCUACGGGAGGCAGCAGUGGGGAAUUUUGGACAAUGGGCGCAAGCCUGAUCCAGCAAUGCCGCGUGCAGGAAGAAGGCCUUCGGGUUGUAAACUGCUUUUGUACGGAACGAAACGGUCUGGGUUAAUACCCUGGGCUAAUGACGGUACCGUAAGAAUAAGCACCGGCUAACUACGUGCCAGCCGCCGCCGUAAAAC
rnacentral:rRNA from 1 species